GGAAGCCCAAAGAAAAUUGAAAAUGGUGAGCAUGUGAUCUUGGGAUGCUGCAAUUGCAUAGGAUUCACCUAAUGAUGUUAGCUGAAACUGCUGCAACAACCAUUAUAAGUUGGUGUGCUGUCUCAGCAUCUCCAGGGCACUUCUCUUGGUUUCAAGGAAAAGGAUUUCCUAAGAUUUGGAAGCUUCGUGAGCAAGACUAAUCUAUGACUUAUGCCUAAAUGGCAUAUCAUCAUACAUUUACAUUAUGUGCAGUAAAUGGGAACAUAUUUCCCUCUUUACUGAUCUUCUAUCUUCAUAGAGUUUAUUGUAUAGUGUUGAACAUCUACCUGGAGAGAUGCUGCUAGUCAGUAAAUAAUAUUGAAUUACAUUUGAUAAACUAAGAAAUAUAAAGAGAUUACCUAUACUUGUGUCAUUUGACAAUCCCAUAACAGUUACAUCUGAGAAGUGGAGGAUAUUCUGGAACACUGGAGCAUCAUAUGGAAUAUUCAGCUGGGUACUGAGAUAUGUAUUACUCUAACCCUGAAAGUUUCACUUGGAUCACAAAUCUUGA